CGCCUCAGGCCCUCAGGAGACGGAGUUGGCGAUUCUCGGAAGAAACAGGUUGGAAAAACUCCUAGGAGAAUAAAGGCUGUCUCUCCUAUAGGGCAAGACACCUGCUUUGACCCAACACAUUCUGUGGUCUCUGUGAAUAUUCAAGUAAACAAGGCACCAAGAUGCACGAGGUACUACCAUGCGCAUGGCCAGAACAACCCACACGCGAGCUCCCCCGCCACAUCGAGACGAUCCGCACUGAAAGGAGCAAAUUACUCCUAAACCAGAAGAGGAGGUUGCAAAGCAAAGAUAGCCCAGAAGAAACUGAAUCAACAGAAAUGUGUGGCGUAGGAAUAAGGAAUGAAACGACCUGGCCCAGCGAGCAAUGGAGUUCAGUCCAGUCUCAUUACGCUGGUGCCCAACUGGUACGUUCACCAUCCUGCACGUCA